CUAUGCUUCUCAGGGUGGAGGAUGUGCUGUCCCAAGCGUCAGGAGCUUUGUACAGCUGUGGACUUAUAUUUCCUUAAAGAGAUCAAGGAUGUCAAGGCCAACAAUCCAGAAUUUUGAGGUGCCCCAGAUAUUGAACAAGGCAACAGUACUGCUCGACAUACCAGUGAUCCUUUGGGAGAUUGCUGUUGAAACCACAAGGCUGAACCCAUUAUGAGGUGCUCUGCUGUUUUUCGAUAUUGGAAAGUCCCAGCUGCUUCAACAUCCCGGUUACACACACAUAGGGGGAAAAAUGCAAGGUUUCAUGCUCUUGGAAACGAUUAUUGAGAAUAAACUAAU